UAUAUCAGGCAGGAGAUUCAGAAAUACAAAGACAUGUUGUCCGAAGCUGCUGACGCUCAGGAAGGGAUGGAGUUUUGGUCUUCUCAGAGUGACACUGUGUUUGAGCUUCUGAAACCUUUGGCCUUGGACCUUCUGGCAAUGCCAGCGUCACAAGCCUUUGCUGAGCGUGUCUUCAGUGUAACUGGUGACCUCUCAACUGGCCAUCGCAACAGAGCAAGAACCACAUUGGAAAGAAGUGCUUUUCUCAAGCUAAAUAAGGUCUAAAUAUACUGUGUGUGAUGGCAAUCAGGAACUGUUGUAAAAUUAGUAUUGUAUAAUUUUUCAGUUUAAAUGUUAAAACGUGUACAACUGUGAUUAAAAAUUAAUUCCUGUUCAGUUUAUUUGCAAGUUAAAAAGAUUUCAUACGUUCUAGCAAGCUAUGCCUUGUUUCACCUUAAAUACUGUACCUUUAUAUACCAUGUGAACUAGCUGGCAGGAAAGCACUUUUGUUGUAUCAGUUGGAGUUUUUUUUUUUCACAACAUUGACCUCAAAUCUAUUUAUUUUAUUAUUCUAUGUGAACUAGCUUUAAACAGCCAGCACUUGUGUUACGUUCAUAAGAAACUUUAUUUUAUUUUAUUUAUUUGUUUCCUUUGUCAGGUGUAUUUUAUUUGUUUUAAUGCAAGCAUUUGUGUUUGUGUCUUUGAACCUUAACAAUGUUCAAAAUAAAUAUGCAAAUAUUGUCAGAACA